UGGAGAUAAAGUUGCUGUCAUCGAAUGAAACGCUUGUCAAAUUUUAAACUGUCGCGAAUCAACAACAAUGUCUUCACAGUGACUCCGAGAAAGACUUGAGGUGUGGAUGUUUGCCGGACAGCAUCAAAGGAGGAUGCCUAGGUACCUUCCCAGGAGCCAGGCGCUUGAGAAGGAACAGCGGGACCCUGAAGUAUAUCUUUGGAGAUUCAGCAACCCUGGUAUACACCGGAGGAAGAAACACUUACGCGCCUGCGAUUUGGGAAGGGCUACGUCCCUGUGCUAAGUCUGGUUUUCCUCCGUGAGAGCCAGGAGGCAGAGUUCCUUGCUCUGAAAGUUGUUAAAACUGGUGGCAGAGCCUACAGAAAGCGCCUGUGAUCACGUCUUGCACACCAGACACCCAAUGUUUUGGUUGUUCCUUUCCCUGUUUCCUCUUUUUCCUUUUUUUUUUUUAAAGUGGGGAUUAGUAGACAGCUCAUGGCCACCACACCAUAUAGGGAUUGUUCGCUACUGAAAGUACAGUAUAUCAGCCUGGUAUCAUGUGGUGGCAAGGGGAAUGGGCUAUCUCAUGGUAAAGCAAAGGAGCAGCCCUAGACGUGCUAACGGUAGGGGCUUCACAGGCAGGCCCUGCAGGGAGAGGCUGCUUGUGUUUCUCAUGCAUUUCCUCAUUCGUGGUGGUGUACUGUCCCUGCAAGCUGUGACUCUGAAAGGAACAGAUUAAAUGACACAGAAGGCUUCCCCGAGCCUUCUCCUGUCUCUGGGAGUCUCGGCCUGCUGGCUUGAAGGAGGCACUGUUUCUCUUCACAUGCCACGGGCAAUAUGGCAAUAUGGGAGCAUGGCUGCUUUUUGUUGCUGAUGAAAAUAUUAUGGCCUCGGUUCCCUGUAAUCAAUUUACUGCUUUAUGGACCCAAAGUCCUCCAGAGAAUUUAAUAAAUUCACAUAAUGUUUCUAA
rnacentral:sRNA from 1 species